GAGCAAUGACGUUUACUUGCACAAAUUGUGAACGAUUGGGUUGUGUCACGUACAUCUGAUUUAUAUAAGAUGAGAUAAUGUGUAUCUGAGCUU
rnacentral:snoRNA from 1 species